rnacentral:rRNA from 1 species
GCGUGAGUGAUGAAGGCCUUCGGGUUGUAAAGCUCUUUUAUCCGGGAAGAUAAUGACUGUACCGGAAGAAUAAGCCCCGGCAAACUUCGUGCCAGCAGCCGCGGUAAUACGAAGGGGGCUAGCGUUGUUCGGAUUUACUGGGCGUAAAGCGCACGUAGGCGGCUUGUUAAGUCAGAGGUGAAAUCCCAGGGCUCAACCCUGGAACUGCCUUUGAUACUGGCAGGCUCGAGUAUGGUAGAGGUUGGUGGAACUCCGAGUGUAGAGGUGAAAUUCGU